rnacentral:rRNA from 1 species
CCUUACUGCUAUCGGGAUGAGACUAAGCCAUGCAUGUCGAGCGCUCUUCAGCUAUGUAGAGAGCGCGGCGAACGGCUCAAUAACACGUAGUUAACCUACCCUCGGGAUGGGAAUAACCCCGGGAAACUGGGAUUAAUACCCACUAGAUGAUUAUACCUGGAAUGGCUUAUCAUCGAAAGAGUCUGGAAACAUGCUUCCAGCGUCGCCCGAGGAUGGGACCGCGUCCGAUCAGGUAGUUGGUGGGGUAAUGGCCUACCAAGCCUAUAACCGGUACGGGCCCUGUGAGGGGGAGCCCGGAGAUGGAAACUGAGAAAAGGUUCCAGGCCCUACGGGGUGCAGCAGGCGCGAAACCUCCACAAUGCGCGAAAGCGUGAUGGGGUUAUCCCGAGUGCCGUCCGAUGAGGAUGGCUUUUUAUCGAUGUAAGGGUUCGAUAGAAUAAAGGGGGGGCAAGACUGGUGUCAGCCGCCGCGGUAAUACCAGCCCCCUGAGUGGUAAGGACGAUAUUUGGCCUAAAGCGUUCGUAGCCGGCUUAUCAAGUCUUUUGUUAAAUCCAACGAUUUAAUCGUUGGGCCGCAAAAGAUACUGUUAUGCUAGAGGGCGGGAGAGGUCGACGGUAGUCCAGGGGUAGGGGUGAAAUCCUAUAAUCCUUGGAGGACCACCAGUGGCGAAGGCGGUCGACUAGAACGUGCCUGACGGUGAGGGACGAAAGCUGGGGGAGCGAACCGGAUUAGAUACCCGGGUAGUCCCAGCUGUAAACGAUGCGGGCUAGGUGUUGGGGCAGCCACGAGCUGCUCCAGUGCCGCAGAGAAGUUGUUAAGCCCGCCGCCUGGGGAGUACGGCCGCAAGGCUGAAACUUAAAGGAAUUGGCGGGGGAGCACCACAAGGCGUGAAGCUUGCGGUUCA